rnacentral:tRNA from 2 species
GCGAGAGUGGUGGAACGGCAGACACGUCAGACUUAGGAUCUGAUGCCUCAGGGCGUGGGGGUUCGAGUCCCCCCUCUCGCACCA